rnacentral:rRNA from 1 species
GAACCACACAAACGUUAUUCGGAAUUACUGGGCUUAAAGGGUGCGUAGGCUGUGCGGAAAGUUGGGUGUGAAAGCCCCCGGCUCAACCGGGGAAUUGCGCCCAAAACUACCGUGCUUGAGGAAGACAGAGGUGAGCGGAACUUCGGGUGGAGCGGUGAAAUGCGUUGAUAUCCGAAGGAACACCGGUGGCGAAAGCGGCUCACUGGGUCUUUUCUGACGCUGAUGCACGAAAGCUAGGGGAGCAAACGGGAUUAGAUACCCCGGUAGUCCUAGCCGUAAACGAUGAGCACUGGGUUGAAGGGACCCCCAUAUCCUUUCAGCCGCAGCAAAAGUGUUAAGUGCUCCGCCUGGGGAGUAUGGUCGCAAGGCUGAA